CACAGAUCAGGCUAUUUAUUUCUUCACCACAGGAGAAAUUCCAUACACUUUUUCUCCCAGAGGAAGGCCCCCAAGGGCCGAAACGUGUUGGAGCAAUUUCCUAACACCUUUCAACAACAGCGGCACGAUCAAGCAGAAGGAGCGGAACAAGAGACUGAACCCGGUCAUGUGACUGAAGACCAGGAAGUGUCUGCGGGUCACGGACGACGGAGAAACAUCGAGGAGACAGCCUGCCACUGACACAUCCAGCAGCGGAGAAGGAGAACUAAGAUACAGACAUGAUUACAUUGGCCAAAAUGGACUACUUCUAAGAAGUGAACAGUCAAGCUGAAGAGUAAUUAUGGUGUGAUGCAGUCAUUUCACCAGAAAUCAUUUUCAAGUAACAAGAUAAAAGAUAUGCACGGUAUUACUGAAGGUGUUCGUUUAAUCAUAUUCAUACAACACAGGAAUCCAGGACCAUGGGAACACUGAUGGAACAGAAUAAGGUCUGAAUGAAAACACCAUGUUUCUUGCAUCUUUACAGUUACAAUAAAUACAUUCAAAUUUGUUUAAAAUGUAUUUUUAUAUAUAUUUUUUAAAUUAUAUUGAAAUAUAAUAUAUAUAUCAAGAUAAAGAACUCUGAAGGUCAACAAGUUAAAGGACGCAUAUGUGCCUCACAACAAUAAGUACCGUGAAGAUGGCAAAAACUGUUAAUAUGUAGAUAAACACAGUAUUUCUGUACAAACUCAUCAUUUACAUACCAUUAAUGAACAGUGUCUGAAAAUGCAGGCGAGUGAAAACUUGUACUCCUCAAACAACAAGCAGUAUUAGGGCACAUCUACAUAGUCAAUUACAUUCAAAUAAAGAUCAUCUCCAUG